CUCUACUGCAACAUCUAGGAAUGGCAGUUUGUUGUUGUUUUCCUCCUCUUUAGUGAAUUUUAUGCCAGUAAGGGUUUAAUUGAUGGUCUUGAAGGAUAGCUCUAAUAUGUUUUG